rnacentral:rRNA from 1 species
UAUAAAUUCACCACUACCCUUGCUGUUCACACCACAUACAGGCAAACAGCCCAGCCACCGAGCUCAAUGGCCGCUCCAUCUAUGUCUGCCCACAUUCCCAUCUUUGUGAUAGUCCUACUCUCGGCCGUCUCCUGUUCUUAUCCCAGCCUGACCAACCGCAACGGUAGUGAAACUGAUCUCGCCGCGCUUCUGGCUUUGAAAGCGCAGCUCGCCGACCCUCUCCGCAUCCUUGCCGACAACUGGACAACCGGCACAUCUUUCUGCCACUGGGUCGGUGUCUCAUGCAGCCUGCGCCGACAACGUGUCACUGCUCUAUCAUUGGUGGAUACGCGUCUCGUUGGCUCUCUGGCACCUCACAUCGGUAACCUCUCUUUCCUUUCCAUCCUUAACCUCACCCGCAACAAUCUGAUGGGCUCCAUUCCAGUGGAACUUGGUAGGUUACAUCGUCUUAGGUAUCUCGAUCUCAUGAGAAAUAGGUUUUCUGACGCCAUACCUACUACCCUUGGGAACCUCACAAGGCUUGUGCGCCUUCGUCUAGGUUACAAUGAACUCUCGGGCCAGAUCCGUCCUGGGAUGUUAAUCCGUAUGCACAACCUUAAAGAAAUUGUCCUGCACCAAAAUGAAUUAGGUGGCCAAAUACCGUUGUAUUUGUUCAACAAUACACCUUCUUUGGCAGUCAUCCAUCUUGGAAAUAACAGCCUGUCGGGUCCAAUACCAACUGCUCUUGCAUCCCUAUCCAUGCUUGAGGUCUUCAGUGUACAGCAUAAUCAACUCUCCGGUCUACUCCCACAAGCCAUGUUCAACAUGUCUAAGCUUCGAGUAAUGGCAUUCGAAGACUGCGGUAACCUAACUGGAAUGAUUCCGACCAAUCAAAGUUUUAGCCUCCCAAUGUUGCAAUUUUUUACACUAGCUGGGAACAAAUUUGCAGGGCGGUUUCCAAUAGGGUUUGCAUCAUGUCAAUACCUGCAAGCACUUGAUUUGAGUCGUAACUCUUUUGUGGAUGUUGUGCCAACAUGGUUAGCCAAAUUGUCACAACUAAAAAAGCUUUUAUUGGGUUCUAAUAACCUUACCGGAUUCAUCCCAGUUGCUCUUAGCAAUCUCACUAGUCUUAGUAUGCUAGCACUCGACAACGGUAAUCUCAAAGGGGAGAUUCCACAUGAAUUAGGUCUUAUACAUGAACUCUGGUAUCUUAAUCUUGGCCAGAAUCAAUUGACAGGUAAAAUUCCUGAUUCCCUUGGCAACUUAUCAAAAUUAUCAACCCUAGGUUUGUAUCGUAAUCAAUUGUCUGGCCAAGUACCAACAACAUUUGAAAAAAUCGUACAUUUAAACAAGCUUGUGUUGAACCACAAUAAUUUAACGGGAAAUCUAGACUUCUUGUCAGCUCUUUCCAAGUGUAGACAACUCCAAAUCCUUGAUAUGUCGUCUAAUUCUUUCACAGGUAUCCUCCCUGGCUAUGUGGGAAACAUUAGUACACAAUUAAGCAUGUUCAUUGCACAUAGUAACAAGUUAACAGGUGGACUUCCGUUAGCGAUUUCAAACCUAAGCAACAUUUAUCUGAUAGAUAUUAGCAACAACCUAUUCGUCGAGCCAUCCCAGAAUCCAUCAUUAUGUUGGAAAAUCUUGUACAUCUUGAUCUCUCCCACAAUGAUAUGGCAGGCACUAUCCCAACACAAAUGGGUAUGCUCAUGAGUUUAGAACGUUUGUUUCUCCAGGCAAAUAAUUUUUUAGGUUCCAUACCAAGCUUCUUUGGUAAUCUUAGUUUGUUGGAAAUUAUUGACUUGUCCAAUAACCAAUUAAGUUCAACCAUACCCGCGAGCCUUUUACACCUAGAUAAACUUAUCAAAAUAGAUCUUUCUCAUAAUUUAUUUGUUGGUGCACUACGAGUUGAUUUUUCUAGUUUAAGACAAUCAAACUACAUGGACAUUUCUUCCAACUUCUUGAUAGGAAGCAUCCCUGACUCAUUCGGACAAAACAAUAUGUUGAUGAAUCUUAAUUUAUCACAUAAUUGUUUCAAUGGCUCAAUUCCAGGCACACUCGAAAAGCUAAAAAGUUUAGCAUCAUUAGACCUCUCAUUCAAUAAGCUCUCUGGUACCAUUCCCAUAUUCCUUGCCAACCUUACAUAUUUGACUAGCUUGAACCUCUCAUUCAAUAGUCUAGUAGGCCAAAUACCGGAGGGGGGUGUUUUCUCAAACCUCACCCCACAGUCCUUGAUUGGUAAUGUUCGUCUACAGUGUUUACUUCCAGCACUCACAUUAGCUUUUGGCGGCAUUGUCAUACCUUUAUACCUAUGUAUUAGAAAGAAACUUAAGAAGGGAGAUGUCAAAGCUUCUGUUGAUCCAACUGGUGUCAUAGAUCAUCAGAUAGUCUCCUAUCAAGAAAUCAUUCGCGCCACCAAUAAUUUUAGUGAGGAUAACAUGUUGGGAUCUGGAAGCUUUGGAAACGUCUUCAAGGGACAACUGAGCAAUGGCUUGGUGGUCGCGGUAAAAGUUAUUGAUAUGCAGCUCGAGGAGGCCAUCCGAAGCUUUGAUGCGGAGUGUCAAGUGCUUCGAAUGGCGCUACACCGCAACCUGAUAAAGACACUCAACACAUGUUCCAACCUUGACUUCAGAGCAUUAGUGCUUCAGUACAUGCCAAAAGGCAGCUUAGAGAUGAUCCUACACCGGUCUCAAAGUUCAGGUCACCUAGGGUUCCUUGAGUGACUAGGCAUCAUGAUCGAUGUGUCUAUGGCAAUGGAGUAUCUGCACCAUGAGCACUACGAGCUGAUAUUGCACUGUGACUUGAAGCCCAACAAUGUGUUGUUUGACGAUGAGAUGACGGCGCAUGUGGCUGACUUUGGCAUUGCAAGGUUGAUUCUAGAUGACAAUUCCACCAUAUGUGCGAGCAUGCCUGGAACAGUUGGGUACAUGGCACCAGGUUGCAGAUUGGACAAUGGUUUUCUAGCAUCGGUCUUUGAGGUUGGUUUGCGAUGUUCCAGCGACUCUCCAGACCAGAGGAUGACAAUGCGUGACGUGGUCGUAACACUGAAGAAGAUCAAAGCCGAGUACACUAAACUGGUAGCAACUAUGUCAAGUACUGCAGCAUAGUGAACCGAUCUCAUGUGGUAGCUACUAUGUGCUUGCUUAAUUAUGUAUCGUCUAUAUAUAUUCUACAUCUGCACUUAGAAUAACCACACAUAACUUCAGGUAUCGGCAGGACUGAAAUAAGUUGUAUUGGAAUGUAUUAUACAUCAUGCAUGUAUAGCUGUUUAGACACAGUUUUGUUCUCUGGCUGUGAGGAAACAUUCUCGUUCCCUUUCGGUCAUGAGCAAAACUGAACAAGACCAAAGAGAGGACAUAGGAGUAAAUCUUCUUCCUCCCGUUUGUUCCCAAAACUCUGAAUACGAGUUCACAUUUGGCAUGCAUAACUAUAUUUGGUCCUGAUUCUCCUCUGUGUGAGAGCAGCAUUGCGGCUCCCUUGCUAUUGCUCUGACAGUUGCAGACUUUCUGAAAUCUGAACAUGACGAAAGAGAUGAACAAGGGGUCUCUGUUUCUAGCCGCAGAUGCUUGUAAGUAGUCAGCAAAACUGUGUUUGUACUGAUACAGGAAGGCAAUAUUGAUUCAGUUUACCGGGCCUCCGUAGAUAUUUGCAUGGUUCAACAACGUGAUUGUUCAGUGGGUACAUCCGUACAUGAGAUUCAGUGAUAUCAAUCCAGAUUAGUGUGAACUCACUGAACUACUUAUACAUGUGUGUGUGCCGGAGUACAUCUAGUUAAUUCUCUUGCGGUGGGAGAUGAGGUCACGUGCCACAACUUGGAGACGUCUUAAGGCGACUUGGAUUGGAGUACUACUGAACCUGCUGAUGUGAUGAUGGUUUAGGCUGUGCUGUUCUCGCAGUCGCAGGCCCGCUCCGUGGAAGUCAUGGGGCUGCCAGUGGUGGAUGGGAGGCAGAUCGAAGGGUUGGAGGAUGCGGAUGACAUCUUCAUCAACUCGUUCCAUGAACUCGGGGCCCCUUGCCCGUGCCCCCCACAUGUUUGCUGAUUUGCCCACCUGAAAGAUGGAUCAAAGAUGAAAUACGUGAAUUUUCAAGUGUGGAAAGCAAGCCCUGGGCAAGUUGAUGGACUUUGAGUUCAAGUUCCACUAAAUUUCUGUGCUGCCUAACAAGUACCAUAUACCAGUUGGCCUAAUUAUUUUACUUCCUUGUUCGCGUGUAUGAAAUAGUUGAGAGACCUGCUAUGCCAUAAUGCAAUGCAUCCUGAGUGCAUCAUUGAUAUUGCAGCUGUGAAAUGUGAAGUUGGCCCGUACAUUUGGUAUACUUUUGUAAGAACAUAUUCCAUCCUUUUUCCAUUUUGGAAAUACUUCUACUGGUUCGUUUCUAAUUGUCCUCUCAGUUUCUGUUGAUCAGACUUUCACUAUUUCCAGUAUGGGGUUAAGAAAUAUCCAACAAGAAGGUAAGGGAAAUAAGUCCUGUUGCAAGUUCCUCAAAAUCAACAUUUUGUUUCUACACGUUACUUAUGGUGCCCGACAACUAGAUUCCCCUUCUUUGCACUGGCGGAGCUUUGUGAGGGCAAAACCAACCUUUUGUAUCUACACGUUAUUUUCAG